UCCCGGUUUAAGCGUGUAGGUGUGUGUUCCAGGUAAAUCCGGUUCACUUUAACACUGAGGCGUGACGACGAGGCACUACGGUGCUGAAGCAACAAAUGCCCUGCUUCCAGGAAAAGCCUCUAAGCAUCAGGUAACAUCAAAUCGUACCCCAAACCGACACAGGUGGUCAGGUAGAGAAUACCAAGGCGCUUGAGAGAACUCGGGUGAAGGAACUAGGCAAAAUGGUGCCGUAACUUCGGGAGAAGGCACGCUGACACGUAGGUGAAGUGAUUUACUCAUGGAGCUGAAGUCAGUCGAAGAUACCAGCUGGCUGCAACUGUUUAUUAAAAACACAGCACUGUGCAAACACGAAAGUGGACGUAUACGGUGUGACGCCUGCCCGGUGCCGGAAGGUUAAUUGAUGGGGUCAGCGCAAGCGAAGCUCCUGAUCGAAGCCCCGGUAAACGGCGGCCGUAACUAUAACGGUCCUAAGGUAGCGAAAUUCCUUGUCGGGUAAGUUCCGACCUGCACGAAUGGCGUAAUGAUGGCCAGGCUGUCUCCACCCGAGACUCAGUGAAAUUGAACUCGCUGUGAAGAUGCAGUGUACCCGCGGCAAGACGGAAAGACCCCGUGAACCUUUACUAUAGCUUGACACUGAACAUUGAGCCUUGAUGUGUAGGAUAGGUGGGAGGCUUUGAAGUGUGGACGCCAGUCUGCAUGGAGCCGACCUUGAAAUACCACCCUUUAAUGUUUGAUGUUCUAACGUGGACCCGUUACCCGGGUUGCGGACAGUGUCUGGUGGGUAGUUUGACUGGGGCGGUCUCCUCCUAAAGAGUAACGGAGGAGCACGAAGGUUGGCUAAUCCUGGUCGGACAUCAGGAGGUUAGUGCAAUGGCAUAAGCCAGCUUGACUGCGAGCGUGACGGCGCGAGCAGGUGCGAAAGCAGGUCAUAGUGAUCCGGUGGUUCUGAAUGGAAGGGCCAUCGCUCAACGGAUAAAAGGUACUCCGGGGAUAACAGGCUGAUACCGCCCAAGAGUUCAUAUCGACGGCGGUGUUUGGCACCUCGAUGUCGGCUCAUCACAUCCUGGGGCUGAAGUAGGUCCCAAGGGUAUGGCUGUUCGCCAUUUAAAGUGGUACGCGAGCUGGGUUUAGAACGUCGUGAGACAGUUCGGUCCCUAUCUGCCGUGGGCGCUGGAGAACUGAGGGGGGCUGCUCCUAGUACGAGAGGACCGGAGUGGACGCAUCACUGGUGUUCGGGUUGUCAUGCCAAUGGCACUGCCCGGUAGCUAAAUGCGGAAGAGAUAAGUGCUGAAAGCAUCUAAGCACGAAACUUGCCCCGAGAUGAGUUCUCCCUGAGACUUAAAGUCUCCUGAAGGAACGUUGAAGACGACGACGUUGAUAGGCCGGGUGUGUAAGCGCAGCGAUGCGUUGAGCUAACCGGUACUA
rnacentral:rRNA from 1 species